rnacentral:rRNA from 1 species
GCAAGCCGAGCGGUAUUUGUUCUUCGGAACAGAGAGAGCGGCGUACGGGUGCGGAACACGUGUGCAACCUGCCUUUAUCAGGGAGAUAGCCUUUCGAAAGGAAGAUUAAUAUCCCAUAAUAUUUAGACUGGCAUCAGAAUAAAUUGAAAGCUCCGGCGGAUAGAGAUGGGCACGCGCAAGAUUAGAUAGUUGGCGGGGUAACGGCCCACCAAGUCAAUGAUCUUUAGGGGGCCUGAGAGGGUGAUCCCCCACACUGGUACUGAGACACGGACCAGACUCCUACGGGAGGCAGCAGUGAGGAAUAUUGGACAAUGGGUGAGAGCCUGAUCCAGCCAUCCCGCGUGAAGGACGACGGCCCUAUGGGUUGUAAACUUCUUUUGUAUAGGGAUAAACCUACCCUCGUGAGGGUAGCUGAAGGUACUAUACGAAUAAGCACCGGCUAACUCCGUGCCAGCAGCCGCGGUAAUACGGAGGGUGCAAGCGUUAUCCGGGAUUUAUUGGGUUUAAAGGGUCCGUAGGCGGACUCGUAGUUCAGUGG